rnacentral:rRNA from 1 species
GACAGAGGUCCCGAGCGUUAGGCGGAAUCACUGGGCUUAAAGCGUGUGUAGGCGGAUCGUUAAGUGCCUUGUGAAAUCCCAUGGCUUAACCAUGGAACUGCUUGGCAUACUGGCGGUCUUGAGCCACUUAGGGGCAACCGGAACAAAUGGUGGAGCGGUGAAAUGCGUAGAUAUCAGGAGGAACACCGGUGGCGAAGGCGGCUCUCUGGACCACAACUGACGCUGAGGCGCGAAAGCUAGGGGAGCAAACAGG